AGAGAUGAACUCGAACAGUACAAGAAUUCCCAGCAUGAACUCCAAGCACGAGAUCAGCUCAAAGGAUGCAAAAAUUAAUUGAGGAUGAAUUACAAGAAAGACAUGAACUUGAACAAUGCAAGAGGGAUUUAGAGAACUUACAAGCAAGUGAAUAUCAAUGUAAGAGGAGCUGAAACAAACAAGACAGGAACUUGAUCAAUGCAAGAAGGAUUUAGAGCGCUUCCAAGCAAGGAUGGCUUUUGAGGCAUCUGUCGACAUGGGAAGCAGCGGAGCUUCAUGUGAGGACCUUAAUAAUCCUUGCAGAGAAUCAGAGCUAAGGAAGAUGUAUGAUAAAUUGAGACUACAAAAGUUGUCAAAGCAUAUAAUGGACAUAAAAAUGAAAUCAAAGAAAGACAAAACCAUAAGUGAAACAAAUGAAAAGGAAAGGCUUAAAGCAAUGCUGAAGGAAAUUUUCGAUAAAGCUCAACAAGACAUGAGUAAAAAGAAAGAAGAUUUUUUAUUCUUUUUCCAAGUUGACCUUAAUAAAGAGGAAGGUGAAAAAGGGGAGUUAAAGAAAACAGAAAUCAAAAAUACGAGACUGCAAACAAAGCAACUUAAAUACAUUGAAUUGGCUAUCCAAAAUAUUCAAAUGAUAAUGUUUCACGAAGAGGCUAGAGACCUUCAAACCAUGUACAAGCAACCUGACCUCUGUGUGAGCUGGCUGAUGAAUGUUACAAAGGUCGGCUGCCUGCUGGCUUUACACAAUCCACCUCU